GAUGAACGCUGGCGGCGUGCCUAAUACAUGCAAGUCGAGCGAAUGGAUUAAGAGCUUGCUCUUAUGAAGUUAGCGGCGGACGGGUGAGUAACACGUGGGUAACCUGCCCAUAAGACUGGGAUAACUCCGGGAAACCGGGGCUAAUACCGGAUAACAUUUUGAACCGCAUGGUUCGAAAUUGAAAGGCGGCUUCGGCUGUCACUUAUGGAUGGACCCGGGUCGCAUUAGCAAGUUGGUGAGGUAACGGCACACCAAGGCAACGAUGCGUAGCCGACCUGAGAGGGUGCUCGGCCACACUGGGACUGAGACACGGCCCAGACUCCUACGGGAGGCAGCAGUAGGGAAUCUUCCGCAAUGGACGAAAGUCUGACGGAGCAACGCCGCGUGAGUGAUGAAGGCUUUCGGGUCGUAAAACUCUGUUGUUAGGGAAGAACAAGUGCUAGUUGAAUAAGCUGGCACCUUGACGGUACCUAACCAGAAAGCCACGGCUAACUACGUGCCAGCAGCCGCAGUAA
rnacentral:rRNA from 1 species